ACGGGAGGCAGCAGUAGGGAAUCUUCCACAAUGGGCGAAAGCCUGAUGGAGCAACGCCGCGUGAGUGAAGAAGGAUUUCGGUUCGUAAAACUCUGUUGUAAGGGAAGAACAAGUACAGUAGUAACUGGCUGUACCUUGACGGUACCUUAUUAGAAAGCCACGGCUAACUACGUGCCAGCAGCCGCGGUAAUACGUAGGUGGCAAGCGUUGUCCGGAAUUAUUGGGCGUAAAGCGCGCGUAGGUGGUUUCUUAAGUCUGAUGUGAAAGCCCACGGCUCAACCGUGGAGGGUCAUUGGAAACUGGGAGACUUGAGUGCAGAAGAGGAUAGUGGAAUUCCAAGUGUAGCGGUGAAAUGCGUAGAGAUUUGGAGGAACACCAGUGGCGAAGGCGACUAUCUGGUCUGUAACUGACACUGAGGCGCGAAAGCGUGGGGAGCAAACAGGAUUAGAUACCCUGGUAGUCCACGCCGUAAACGAUGAGUGCUAAGUGUUAGGGGGUUUCCGCCCCUUAGUGCUGCAGCUAACGCAUUAAGCACUCCGCCUGGGGAGUACGGUCGCAAGACUGAAACUCAAAGGAAUUGAC
rnacentral:rRNA from 1 species